AUUGAACGCUGGCGGCAGGCCUAACACAUGCAAGUCGAACGAGUGGCGGACGGGUGAGAGAUGUCUGGGAAACUGCCUGAAGGAGGGGGAUAAAUACUGGAAACGGUAGCUAAUACCGCAUACCAUCGGAUGUGCCCAGAGGGGAUUAGCUAGUAGGUGGGGUAACGGCUCACCUAGGCGACGAUCCCUAGCGGGUCUGAGAGGAUGACCAGCCACACUGGAACUGAGACACGGUCCAAACUCCUACGGGAGGCAGCAGUUGGGAAUAUUGCACAAUGGGCGCAAGCCUGAUGCAGCCAUGCCGCGUGUAUGAAGAAGGCCUUCGGGUUGUAAAGUACUUUCAGCGGGGAGGCGUUACCCGCAGAAGAAGCACCGGCUAACUCCGUGCCAGCAGCCGCGGUAAUAC
rnacentral:rRNA from 1 species